CGGGGGGAGCAAGCGUUGUUCGGAUUUACUGGGCGUAAAGGGCGCGUAGGCGGCCACUGCAAGUCGGUUGUGAAAUCUCCGGGCUUAACCCGGAAAGGUCAACCGAUACUGCAGGGCUAGAGUGCAGAAGGGGCAACUGGAAUUCUCGGUGUAGCGGUGAAAUGCGUAGAUAUCGAGAGGAACACCUGCGGCGAAGGCGGGUUGCUGGGCUGACACUGACGCUGAUGCGCGAAAGCUAGGGGAGCGAACGGGAUUAGAUACCCCGGUAGUCCUAGCCUUAAACGAUGAAUGCUUGGUGUCUGGGGUUUUAUAGUCCCGGGUGCCGUCGCUAAACGCUUUAAGUCAUUCCGCCUGGGAGGUACGGUCGCAAGACUG
rnacentral:rRNA from 1 species